GAUGAACGCUGGCGGCGUGCCUAAUACAUGCAAGUCGAGCGAACAGACGAGGAGCUUGCUCCUCUGACGUUAGCGGCGGACGGGUGAGUAACACGUGGAUAACCUACCUAUAAGACUGGGAUAACUUCGGGAAACCGGAGCUAAUACCGGAUAAUAUAUUGAACCGCAUGGUUCAAUAGUGAAAGACGGUUUUGCUGUCACUUAUAGAUGGAUCCGCGCCGCAUUAGCUAGUUGGUAAGGUAACGGCCUACCAAGGCAACGAUGCGUAGCCGACCUGAGAGGGUGAUCGGCCACACUGGAACUAAGACACGGUCCAGACUCCUACGGGAGGCAGCAGUAGGGAAUCUUCCGCAAUGGGCGAAAGCCUGACGGAGCAACGCCGCGUGAGUGAUGAAGGUCUUCGGAUCGUAAAACUCUGUUAUUAGGGAAGAACAAAUGUGUAAGUAACUAUGCACGUCUUGACGGUACCUAAUCAGAAAGCCACGGCUAACUACGUG
rnacentral:rRNA from 1 species